UUCCUCAUAAAUGAUGACAGAACUUUUUUCCCAACAGAUCAACCAUGUUGAUCUAACUUCUCUAAGCCAGUUAUAAGAUAAA
rnacentral:snoRNA from 1 species